AUUUAAAGUGGUACGCGAGCUGGGUUCAGAACGUCGUGAGACAGUUCGGUCCCUAUCUGCCGUGGGCGUUGGAUGAUUGAAGGGAGUUGCUCCUAGUACGAGAGGACCGGAGUGAACGAACCUCUGGUGUUCGGGUUGUCACGCCAGUGGCACUGCCCGGUAGCUAAGUUCGGAAUCGAUAACCGCUGAAAGCAUCUAAGCGGGAAGCGAGCCCUGAGAUGAGUCAUCCCUGACCCCUUGAGGGUCCUAAAGGGCCGUUGGAGACCACAACGUUGAUAGGUGGGGUGUGUAAGUGCAGUGAUGUGUUGAGCUAACCCAUACUAAUUACCCGUGAGGCUUAACCAUACAACACCCAAGAAGUGUUCUG
rnacentral:rRNA from 1 species